GGGUCGAUGUAAUUGACUAUACCUUCCCCUAUAAUUUCAGGCCUUGUGCCUAGAGUAGAAAGGAUUAUUAUUCAAAUGAGGAUGGUUAUGAGCAGGCAGUGUCCUUAGCAUACUGAAGAAAUGGCUCACCUGACCAGAAUGAGUUGAUGGACAUGAUAUAUAUAAAGAAAGUUUAAUGACUACGAUGCCAGUUAGCUGCUGACCUAGAACCAAAAACUCCACAUAGUGACUCACAAAAUUUGACUUUGAAUAAAUAUGAUUCUACUCUAA
rnacentral:lncRNA from 1 species